AGUUGAUGUGAAGACGAGCCUUCACAGAAACGCAUACUUGUGUGUUGACUCGAAAAAUCAGAUUACAGUUAUCUCAUCAAAU
rfam:Zea mays cultivar B73 chromosome 6, whole genome shotgun sequence.